rnacentral:lncRNA from 1 species
CCUUGAUCGAUCCCGCCCCUGCUCUGGUCCGUGGCCACCACCAUGGCGUCGCCCAUGCUCUCCGCCACCACCGCGCCGCUCCAGAGCGCCGGCCUGUCCGAGUUCUCCGGGCUCAGGAGCUCCGCCUCGCUGCCGCUGCGGCGGAAUGCCACCUCCGACGACUUCGUGAACGCCGUCUCCUUCAGGACCCACGCGGUACGUGCUCUGCUCCCACCUGCAUCAUAUAUGUGUCGGGACGCGUUAGCUUCAUUCGUUUCACGGCUUGGGGGAUGAACAUGCUUGCUUUGCCUGCGUGUGCAGGUCGGCACGAGUGGCGGGCCUAGGCGGGCGCCGACGGAGGCGAAGCUGAAGGUGGCGAUCAACGGGUUCGGCCGCAUCGGGCGCAACUUCCUCCGCUGCUGGCACGGGCGCGACGACUCGCCGCUCGAGGUCAUCGCCAUCAACGACACGGGAGGCGUCAAGCAGGCGUCUCACCUGCUCAAGUACGACUCCACGCUCGGCAUCUUCGACGCCGACGUUAAGCCCGUGGGGGACAACGCCAUCUCCGUCGACGGCAAGGUCAUCAAGGUCGUGUCCGACCGCAACCCCAGCAACCUGCCGUGGGGGGAGAUGGGCGUAGACCUCGUCAUCGAGGGCACGGGGGUGUUCGUCGACCGCGAGGGCGCCGGGAAGCACAUCCAGGCGGGAGCCAAGAAGGUGCUCAUCACGGCGCCAGGGAAGGGCGACAUCCCCACCUACGUCUGCGGCGUCAAUGCCGACCAGUACAACCCCGACGAGCCCAUCAUCAGCAACGCCUCCUGCACCACCAACUGUCUCGCGCCCUUCGUCAAGGUCCUCGACCAGAAGUUCGGUGCGUGCUCCAUUAUAUAUGCUCUCUUCUGCAAUAUUGUAAUGAGUCCAUGUCCCGAUCAGGCUUGGCAUGACGAUGCUUACUAAGACCUAGCAAUUAAUAUGAUGCAUCGCAUCGCAGGCAUCAUCAAGGGCACCAUGACCACCACCCACUCCUACACCGGUGACCAGAGGCUGCUGGACGCCAGCCACCGCGACCUGCGCCGCGCCCGCGCCGCCGCGCUCAACAUCGUGCCCACCUCCACCGGCGCCGCCAAGGCCGUGGCGCUGGUGCUCCCCAACCUCAAGGGCAAGCUCAACGGGAUCGCGCUCCGGGUGCCCACCCCGAACGUCUCCGUCGUCGACCUCGUCGUGCAGGUCUCCAAGAAGACCCUCGCCGAGGAGGUGAACCAGGCGUUCCGCGACAGCGCCGCCAACGAGCUCGCCGGCAUCCUCGAGGUCUGCGACGCCCCGCUCGUGUCCGUCGACUUCAGGUGCUCCGACGUGUCCUCCACCGUCGACGCCUCGCUCACCAUGGUCAUGGGCGACGACAUGGUCAAGGUCAUCGCGUGGUACGACAACGAGUGGGGCUACUCGCAGAGGGUCGUCGACCUAGCUGACAUUGUCGCCAACAAUUGGAAGUGAAGCCUCGCAUUGUAAUAACCCAUCCUCGGCUUCAAAAUUUUCCCCAGGGUCUUCCCUGAUGAUAAUUUGUAAUGAGAAAUCGAGGACCCAAACUCCCAACAAUUCCUUUUAUUUUCUCUCUCUCCCUUCUCCGAUUUUUCAUUGUCCAGGGACGGAGUAUAAUCGACUUCCGGCAAAGGAAAUCGCAAACGCUGUAUAAUGCAGAUUUGUAAUAUAUACUAUCUGUUGCAAGGUUCUUUUGUAGAUUUCAAACCCUUUAUUUGUUCAAAGAUGGCUAAAUGAAAUUAGAGCCAAUUUUCUUCAAGGAGUUGUUUACUAAUAAGUUAGAUGCAGUUUAAUCGAAACGAAUACAAGUUCAAUGAAACGCAUACAGUUAAGCUUUAUUCCACUAUGAAAUAAGGUUCCGUGAUUAGGUGCACGCAGCCGUGAAUGAGAGUCGCCGGUUUAUAUAACCAAAGGUUGCACUCUAUUUGUAUUUGCUACGAACUGGUGUGAAAUGAUCGAGAAACAAAACCAGCCUGCAAGUAUGAUGAAUAUUAAUGGUGCUCCAAUCUGGUUACCUGAUGUUCUUGAUGCGUCACUAGGAAGUUAUGAAGCAUCAGUCAAAUUGUGCGUUCAAAUGAUGCAAUCUGUACCGCCCUGCCCCAGUUUGUCUACUGGCAUUUUCUGUGGACUUCAUAGUUCACAUGAUCCUCAUCCUGGAUCCUUGAUUCCUUGGUGCAGGUUGCAAUGAGUGAUCAAGAGCAUAUGGCAUCUUUUGUAUGCAGGCCAUAAGGUGUUAGACCAUACAGUUGAAUGCAAGGAUGGCAUCUUUCCCUUUCUCAAACAUCCAGCAAAUUUUCAGAACAUAUUUUCCUUAGAAUUUCAAUAGCUCCAUUUCGUAUCUCUUAAUUCAAAUGGCCCAUCUUUAACAGACAAGAACAGAUCUGCACCUGGCUUCAUUGAUCAAGUAACUAACAAGUACCAAAUGACUACAUUCCACUAAAACCUAGCACGACAGACUCUAUUGAUGCCAAGAUAAACGUUCAUAGGGGCAUUUUUAACACACUACUUUGGCACAAUCUAAAACAAGAAAACAGGCACUAGUCUUUGGUCAAGGAAAAUAUAUUCCUCAGAUGCUCUGCAUGGAACUUGUAGAUGAUACCCACCCUGUCUCAAGGACCACCAUUGAAAAGGUUCCAAUCAUGCACAUUGAAAUUCAUCACGGCAAGUUUGAAGAUCUCGGACAUUGGUAAGCAUCCAGCUUGUUCAGCAGGUAUGGCCGGACCAGCUGCAACUGCGGUGGCGCUUUCACUCAAGGGGCUGAAAUAAAAUCAGACAUAAUAAACCAAUUACGUCUGCUUGUAACUCUGGAGAACAACAAAAACCAAUCCCUCAAUUUACUAAAUAGAUAUCACAAGGCAUUGGUAACUCUAGGAUGAUGUUACGAACUUAGAUAUGUAGACUUCACUCAUGUUUUAAACCUUUAGGACCUUAGUGUUUCUUGCAGCACAUUAGAAUUCUGUUAACAUCUCCAUGGCUUAUACGGUUUUGAUAUUUUGCUUACAAUUCUCGUGCACUAGAAUUCAGCGUGCCAAAGUAUAAAGCUGGAAGAAGUUUUCCAUCUGAAGUUCUGAACAUAAGGGUUUCCAUAGUGCCAGGCUGACAGUGACUUGCAUAAAAAUGGAAUAUUUAGCAAGCAGAACAUUUACAUUUACAUAAUUGAUGUUCCCUUUCAACAUUACCGACACUCAUUUUAACAUGUGAGGAUGCAUUCGAACUUAUAGACUAAUAUCUUUACAUAUACACACCAACAAAUGGCAGUGGAUGGUAGUUGUGUGAUUUAAAAUCAGAACAAGCUUCUCAGCCUUGAGGAAGCAUGAAAUGGUGAGACUAUUUUGUUUAGAAUAAUAAAAAUACCAAUUAACAGCAGAAAAUAUACGAUAGCGAUCUACAGGCCUUACUUUAUCAACAGUGGCUCGUAUGCGGUGAUAAGCACAUCAGUUGCUGCAUUUUUGAUACGUAUGUUUGCCAGGUAAAGCUGUAAAAGGCAACACGGCAUUCAGCUUGAAGAGCCAAUAUAUAUCUAAUGUUCUUAACAUACUCAUCAAGGGUGGGUAUACUCACUCGGACAAUGUUCUGUGCUUCUCUUCCCUGCCUCCCUUUUGAGACAGCCUACAUAAACAAUGAUAAGAGGGCAUGAGAUCCUACGGUGCAUUUUUCUGACACUACUUGCUAUUUCUCUAUCAUUUGAAUACAUAUCAAGAAAUUGAAUUAGAAAUACUAACAUAAUUAUCACUAUGCAGUUGAAACAUAUAUUUCAUAAAGCACAACAUUUCCUGGACAGGCCCUUCUCCCAAAUGAAGACUAAAAAUUGCCUUUUCUCCCACUCAGUUAGCAUAUCUGAAUUCUGAAGGUGCAGUCACUAUAUGAGAAUAUUUGAGCAAACCAAACUACUAACAUUGUCUGUCCGUACUUAGUUAUUGUUCAUAAGGAUGUUUAAUCCCUACUGAAAACUUGUUUAUUUUCCUUAAUUUUCACAAAAAGGAUUACACUACACUUCAACAACAGUAGAAAUCUUUUAUCAUCUUAUCCAAAGAAGCACGAACAGAAGCCAAUCGACAAGAGAUAGAUUGAUCGGGGUGGCAGUGUGGUACACCAUAUUGAUAUCAGCACAGUAAAUAUGCUUACCAGCUGGCCAACUGAAGUUCCAGCCACUGCAGGUGCUUCUCCAAGACGCAGACCAGCUAGCUCGAGUGUCCCAGAAUGCUCAACCACCUAGCAAGCAAACAAGCAACGAUUUACAAACAGGUCUCUUUUACGUCAAUCUAGUUGAAUCAGGUAGCAUUGCCAUCCAAUGCACAGUAAGUACACAAAUAGUUCUCUGAACGAAUUGGUAAUUUGCUGGUGGAUGAAUUGUUCCAUGGCUUGGCGGCACUAAUUAAAACAGUAGGCAAGUCAAAGGGGUUGUUGACUUUUGUUUACCAAGUUGUCCGCGGCGUCUUGCUCGUUGGCGAUGUCGCGCAGGAACCAGAGCGCGCUGCCGGCAUCGUCCACCUCGCCCUUGAGGUCGAGCAGCUCGACGAUGAGGCUCUCGUCGCGGGCUGGAUCAACGAAGACCUCCUGCACAGCACACAGCCCAUCAAAUUAAAAUCAAACGGGUUCUGCAAACAGCGAGCAAGCACAUCCCACCGGAAUCGAAACUGCAACGCGAGGAUCGCACGAACCUGAUGGUCGGGGACCUCCCGGAUGUUGCUCACGUCCUGAACAGGUCAAGAAAACGAAGCCCAAAACAAAGCGUUAAGUGCACGCGCACGCGGAGAAGGAAACUGAACCUUCGGGGCCAAGGAGAGUGCGGGGAAGGCGGAGAGCCUGCGGCCUCGUACCUGGAAGCGGGCGGGGAAGGCGGUGGAGAUGGCGCCGCCGAACAGGGGCCGCGGGACGCAGCUCUCCCCGGCCAUCUCUCGACCAGCUUCUCUCUCGGUUCUCGGCUCUCGAGAAAGGGGGGGACAGCAACAGCUUCCAGAGCGUGGUGGAAGGCGCGGGCGGGGAGGAGGGGCCGGGCCGGCGAUUCGAGGGGCGAGUUAUAUAGGCCGCGAGGUGGUGGGGGGCGGAGUCGCCGCGCGUCGAUCUGACGCAGCGUCGCAGCUGCGGCCCCGCGUGGAGGCUACGCACGCCGAGGUGUCCCGCCGCGGCCGGUUUGGUCGGUUGCUCCGCUCGCGGGCAGCCGGCAGGGCGGCGCGUGCGGCGGCGGUGCUGUGGGCGGGCAGUGUGGGCCGAGUCGAGCGAGGGAGGCAGGAUGAGGCCCACAGAUGGCCGUGGGCUGCCUACCAGUACCAGCCCAUGGCCCAUGUUGACAAAGCUAUACUACGUCUUGUACUCUUAACAUAACCACUUCAGUUCAGAACAAGUCGGAUGUCUCGUAACUUCAUCAGACAAGAAAAGAAGAACAAAAUUAGGAGUAGAGUGCACAUCCCACCGCUUAAACACAAUACAGUUGAAAACUUGAAAUGCAUAUGGUACUAGUCCAUAUAAAUACAGUUGAAAACUUGAAAUGCAUAUGGUACUAGUCCAUAUAAGUCUAUUUUCCACGAACAGAUUCUCUGGGUGUUUGGUUCCAUUUGCUUAUUUUUAGCACGUGUCACAUUGAAUAUUUAUAUACUAAUUAGGAGUAUUAAACGUAGACUAUUUACAAAAACCAUUAUAUAGAUGGAGGCUAAACGGCGAGAUGAAUCUAUUAAGCCUAAUUAAUCCAUCAUUAGCAAAUGUUUACUGUAGCAACAUAUUGUCAAAUCAUGGACUAAUUAGGUUCAAUAGAUUUGUCUCGCCGUUUAGGCUCCACUUAUGUAAUGGGUUUUGUAAAUAGUCUACGUUUAAUACUCCUAAUUAGUAUCUAAAUAUUCGAUGUGACGGGUGCUAAAAAUAAGCAAAUGUAACCAAACAGGACCAAUCAGUCAGCUGCGAGCCUACGAGUUGAAUGAGAGUAUGAGAUGGCGCUGCCAACCGCAUCCUACACCUAGCUAACAGCAAGGUGCUAAGGCUAUACAGAUAGGUUUGAACUGUGAGUUCGGCAUUAGUGAGUAAUGCUUUGCAUCAGCUAAUUAAAUUCUAUCAGGAGUAGGAUUAACAAGUGCAAACCAGUUUGUGCCAAAACAGCCAAAGAGUAGCCCUGGCUUGCCUAGGCUACAACCAAAACAGGUCGAUGAGACGAGUUGUCACAUUUGUGACACCCAUAAUUUGGGACUCCCUGGCUUGCGCAUGCUGCAAUGGCGGUCCAAAGUAAAUCCCGGCUAUUAGGGACAGUGGCGGUAGUAGAAGAAGGUAAGGGACAGGAUAGCGGGGAAGGCGGCAAGCAGGACAAGCAGGAUACCGGGACUUGCAUUGGCGCGCUCGGGUCGGUGGUUAUUCUUGUUCAAAAUAUAGCGCCACCCAUCAAUCCACAUCAUCAUCUCCUGGAUGUCUGCAUUAGCUUCCCAACGACGCGCGCGCACCGCACAGUGAUCAGCAGGCAUGAAGAUCACCGUGCACUCGUCGAAGGCUGUCAGGCCCGCCUACGGUGCCAACGGCGUCCCAUUCCCGGCGGCGGACGCCGUCCCACUCACGGUGUUCGACAAGGCCAGCUUCGACGAGUACAUCUCCGGCAUAAGCUUCUUCCGCCCGCCGGCCCCGCCCAACAACGCCGUCCUCGAGGCGGGGCUGGCCAGGGCGCUCGCCGAGUACCGCGAGUGGGCCGGCCGCCUCGGCGCCAACGCUCGGGGCAGCCGCGCGAUCAUCCUCUGCGACGCGGGCGCGCGGUUCAUUGAGGCGACGGCCGACGUCGCGCUCGACAGCGUCAUGCCCGCGCUUCUGCAGCCUUCAUCCGCGGUGUCGGGCCUGCACCCGGCCGCCGACGAGGAGGAGCUGCUGAUGGUCCAGGUCACGCGGUUCGCGUGCGGAUCGCUCGCCGUCGGCCACACCAUGAGCCACGCCGUGGCCGACGGGCAGGCUGCCUGCAACUUCCUGCUCGCGUGGGGCCAGGCCACCCGCGGGGUCCCCAUCGACCCGGCUCCGGUGCACGACCGGGCGUCUCUCUUCCUCCCCCGGGUCCCGCCGCGGGUCGAGUUCGAUCACCGCGGCGUCGAGUUCAAGCCGCCUCACGGUGCGAAGGCGGCGCGCAGCAGAAGCAACGACGCCGACGACGUGGUGGUCGUGCACCGGGCGCACUUCACCCGUGAGCUGCUCUCCGAGCUCAGGUCGCGAGCGUCGUCGGCGCGGGCUGCGCGGCCGUACAGCACGACGGUGUGCCUGGUGGCGCACCUGUGGCGGUGCGUCACGAGGGCGCGCGGGCUCGACGGCGGCGCGGUCACCAGGCUGCGCGUCGCCGUGAACGGACGAGCUCGAAUGAACGGGGCCCCGCGGAUACCCGAGGGAUACACGGGCAACGUCGUGCUCUGGGCGUGGCCGGCCGCCACCGCGCGGGAGCUGGUGAACCGGCCGCUGCGGCACGCCGCGGAGCUCGUGUGCCGGGCGGUGGCCCGCGUCGACGGCGACUACUUCCGGUCCUUCGUCGACUUCGCGGGCUCCGGGGCGGUGGAGGAGGAGGGGCUGGUGCCGGCGGCGGACGCGGCGGAGAAGGUGCUCAGCCCGGACGUCGAGGUGGACAGCCUGCUGCACGCCGCGUUCUGCGACCUGGACUUGGGCGGUGGCCGGCCGUUCCUCUUCAUGCCCGGGUACCUGCCGAACGAGGGCUCCGUCUUCAUCGUGCGGGAUUUCUCCGGCGACGGGGGCGUGAGCGCCUACGUGCCUCUCUUCAGCCGCGCCAUGGAAAGAUUCGGGAGAUGCUGCUACUCCGUGGCAACGGCGGACGCUCGUCUUUAGAUCACUGUCUGCUUUUGCUGGUGCUUGCUGUGAUUUGAUCUCCGUCAUCUGAAACUAAUUCAAAACCUAUGCGAAUCGAAUGUCUUUAGCAAGGUUUUUGGGUGGCAGGCCGGACCGGCGAUGGUCGGGCAAGAUGCCGGCGCCGGACCGCAAGAAACUGCGAUGGUUCCCGUUGGGAGGGAGCGAUAUACGAAGGCGGGGAAGAAGAAAAGAGGAACUGCAUGCGUGUCUCAAAAGACUCGACUCACAUGCCUAUCCGGCUCCAAAAUUAUCUCGCUGCAGCCGGGAACACCUGUCACAUCGGAUGUUUGAUGCUAAUUAGGAGUACUAAAUAUAAAUUAAUUAUAAAACUAAUUGCACAGAUGGAGUAUAAUUCGUGAGACGAAUCUAUUAAGCCUAAUUAGUCCAUGAUUUGACAAUGUAGUGCUACAGUAACCAUUUGCUAAUGAUGGAUUAAUCAGGCUUAAUAGAUUUGUCUCGCGAAUUAGCACAAGGUUCUGCAAUUAGUUUUAUAAUUAGCUCAUGUUUAGUCCUCCUAAUUAGCAUCCGAACAUUUGAUGUGACACUGUUAAAAUUUAACACCUCGUAUCCAAACAGAUGUAUACCUUCAUAAGAAAUCCACUGCAUAACCCCCCAACACCAACACCACCAGGAUGGGCAAGAGCAUUGCGCACAAAUACUACGAAUACUCGAAUAGCCAUGAUAGCUAUCGAUACUUUCUGCAACUACAGCAAAUAAUUAGAAGGCCAAGUAGUGGAUUACAUUUGCACGUACAGAAACACCCAUGAGUUCGCUUCUCAAUCCAUAAACCGAAGUUCUGAAAAUAGCUCCUAAACCAACUAAGGCAAGCACCAAACACCGCAAAAGGGGACACUUCUUUCCACAGCCCUCUGGAGGCCCGGUCUCACUCAUUCUGCAGACAUAAGUUAUCAAACCCGAUGAGGACUCAGGUCUCCUCUUCAUCCUCCUCAUCUUCUAUUUCGGCUUCCUCCUCAUCAGAUCCCUAGAAACAUUGCAGGAGAAUGGUAAAUACAGGUGUAGAAUGGAUACAGUGAUGCGACGGUUCUCAACAUCUCCAAUCUGCAUAUGCAAAUAAUAGACGCAUAUAGAUGAUAUAACAAACAUGACUAAGCAUUCUAUGGUGUAUAGUGGAUGUCUAAAUGGCACAUUAACCAUGAUACAUGACAUGAUAGCAGUACCAUUAACGGAUUAACCUAAUGGCCAGAUGCAACAGAAAAAAAGUAGGUAGUAACAGAGAAAAAAACGCAAUGCACUUUUGCCUAAGGAAUAGAACCACACAAAAAAGGAUUGAAUUACCUCUUCAUCAUCCUCUUGUUCAAACUCGCCUUCUAGCUCCUGCAUUGAGAGAUUUCAGCACAAGAUACAAGGAUAUAAAAAGGAAACAGACUGAAUCACUUGUCACAAAAGAACCACUAACAUUGUUGAAAUACUUCAAAGGAUUAGGCCACAAAUCUUCCUUGAUGACGUCUGCCACCUAUGUAAUGGGGGUUAUCAGAGAACAUCCUCAUCUGGAACAUGCUAUAUUUUUUAGGUCCCAACCUCAACGGUAAGACCUGGAAAUUGUUAUACCUGAUCCAUCUCACCGUGAGCAAAACUUUCAUUCUCUGUAUCACUGAACCAAGUGAAGAAACUGCAAAACAAAUGGAAGACAACUUUACAGAAUCUCCAACUUGCAAAUCAAUUGAGAGACAUUUUACUAUACUCAAUAAAUGAUGUAAUGCAUAAACCAGGUAAAAGAAGAGGAAAGAAAAAAGAGAGAACAUUUUCCAAGCACACAAAAUGACAAUCUUGCAAAUAGCAACAAGACUAUCUAUCGGAUCUCUGUGGAAAGGGAAAACCAAUGCUUACAGAUACAUCAGGAGGCAUGACCUUGUCAGGUAUUCUCCAAUAAACCAUGCGAUUAUAUUGGAUUAAGCAUGUUAUGUAUGCCAAAUCACAAGAUCAAGCAGCCACUAAACCACUAGGCACUAGUAUACAACACAUUUUCAUGAAUAUUUCAGCUAGUCCUGAGCUGUUGACAAGAUAACACGGAAAUGAAAAUGGCAGAAAGAAUGCUAUCCCUUGGAGGCUCGGACAAUAUUGACAUCAGAAAAAAAGCUAGCAUGCAUAGAUUGUUUGAUUAUGUAAUUGUGCAUCACUUACUACAAACUAGCAAUGGGAAAAUUUUGUGCUCAAAUGGAAACUAGAUACCUUUCAUCAACCAGUAGUCGCUUGUCACCCUGCUUGGUGCAUGCCUUUCCAUUGACAAUAUCCUAAUGUAUAAAUGAGAAAACUCAUUAGGUUCUCUUGGCAGGAAGUUGGCAUGUAAAACACAUAGUAUGAUGGUCAAGGGACAAUACCAUUCCUGCCUUCCACUUAAUGGAGGUAGCCUUUACUGUGAUUGUUCCAUCAUCACUCAUGGAAUACGUCUUUGUAAGCUUUUUAUCUUCGAAAUAUGGAUUGGAAGAAAAGGUCUUCCAGUUCAAGGUAAGUAGAUAGUAAAAACAGAGUUUAAAAGAAAAAUUAAAAAUAAGUUAUAGAAGAUUCAAAAGAAGCUUACUAGAGUAAUAGAGCAGCCCGAUUUAACAUCCUCUGAGUCCACAAAUACAGAUUCCAAGUGUUUAAAAAUCUACAACAGAAAGAACAUUGAAAGUUCCUGAGUACAUAAAGAUGCUUCGAUUUGCCGACAGGUUUCAGAGAGUUUCACAGUAUACAGGUGUUCUAAUUAUUUGAUUUUAUUUAUAUCUGCUAAUUUGUACUAACAAAGAUCCAAAAGCUAAACACAUGCCAAAGGUACCUGUGUAUCAUCCUCGGUUAAAAGAUCAGCGAGCAUAGGAUGGCUUAGGAACUGCAGGGUCAGCACACAGCAGUGUCACAAAUCAUUAAGCACUUCCAGUAAAAGAGGGGAUGCAACACAAAUCAUAAUAGAAGAUAUGCAAACCGCUGUCAGCCAGAAAUCUGGAAUUUUCUGGAUAACUUCAUUGCGUCGAGCAUAAACUGGUCUGCGAAUUUCAUUGUAUUUCUGUUCCACCUCUAAAACCUCAUUGCUUGCUUCCUCAUUAACCUGUAACAAAUUGAUGCUAUGAGAGAAAGCCUACACUUAAAAUACAUUGAAACAGCCCUCACAAAAAUUGCAUACGAAACAGCAAUUCGCCAUGUACAUGGGAGUAAUGUAAAUUGCAAUUCGUCAUGUACAUGGGAGUAAUGUAAAUUUAGCCAGGGCGUGCGUUUCCACGAUGACAUUCAACAUCAAAUUUUACUUUCCUGAAGCAUUCAACACUUACAACAAUGAUCGGUUUCCUAAAUCAUAAGUCAAGCUACGCAAUUGCAAGAUUCUACAAUUCGCUUGCUUAGGCUCACAAGCAAGUGGAUUCCGACUUUACAUUCGGCACGUGCCUUGUUGCGUCUAAUUUUUCACGAUUCCGCACGAACACAGAAAGUCUUCCAUCCAUCCUCGCACUAAACAGGGCGCAGAGAGAAAACCCUCCAUCCCAUCCCGAUUCCCCAAAACAAAUUCUUCCACCCAGGCCACAAUCAACCAAUCAAUCACCCAACGCCGAGUCACAGCGGAACCAUCUCGCAGAUCACCCUGAACCGCAGCGAAACCUCCACUAAAAUCUCACGCGGAAACCGCUGGAAAAACGACCAAAAUUCCAACAACCUCCUAAGUACCUCACCCAGCGAGUGAAAAUUCUCCAGUGACGGAGCAAUCACAAUUCAUAGCGCGACAAAUGAGGCGGAUGAAAAUCCUAAACCGCUUAGGAAGCGAAGCGACUCACCUUCUCGAUCUCGUCCUGGACCUCCUGGAGCUUCUCGAUGGAGAGGAGGAGGGCGCGGUCGAUGGGCUCUCCCCCAUCCUCCUCGGCGCCGUCGGUCCUCGCCCUCUUGCCCUUCUCCUCGGCGGUCCGCAUCGCCAGCAAAUCGAAAAACCCCUUUCGCGAGGGGCUCUAGGGUUUUAGCACUCUCCUCGGGGAUAGGGAGGCUGGCUGCUGCUGGCGUGCGCGGCUGCGCGCGGUGGGGAGAAAGGGGAGUGAGGAAACCGAAGGGCCAGAGGCGGGUGGACGGCUAGUUGGGGGUUUUUAUACCGGGCCGCGCGGAGAUUCGCGCUUGCCGCCGGUUUGAGUACGGUUGGGUUGGGCCCCGUGAGCCGUGGCCUAGUGGUAAUUUUCCGAUGCUUUGAGUAGGCCUAACGGGCCGGGCCGCGGGGGGGGGGGGGGGGGGGGGGGGGGGGGGGGGGGGGCCGCGGGGGGGCGGCGCGGGGAACUCUACCAUAAACGACUACAAAUUACAAAAUCAUAAAAAAAGGUUAUAAAAAUACACUAAAGCCUUGUUUGGCUAAUCCCCCAACCCUCUUAUGGAGGAGAUUAAGGCGGAAAAUCGGAAGGCACGGAAGCUAGUACGAUUACUAGUGAAGGUUCCUGCUAGAUUGAAUUCCACGAACUGGCUCCCAAUCCCUUAAAACAAUCAGAAAACAGUCUGAACCCCAGUCCCAGCCUCCACUUCUUGCAUAGAUCGUUAUGUGGGGCCUGUACCUAGAACUGCGCAGCAUCCCGUCGAACCACCUUGGUUUCGCCAAUUUCAGACAACGACAAACCGUGUCCACUUAGGCAAAUACUAAUGGAGAGUUUCAUUUUGAUGUUUCCAAGAUAGCCACAUAAGCAACGUGAAAAAUGAAAUUGUGUUUGAAACUACCUCUACAAUGCAAAAUUUUAUGGUGUAGUUUCAUAUGCACUACAUGCAAGACACAAACUGUGUUGGUAACUGUGCAUACAUGGUUUCAUUUAGAUGAAACCCCUCUUACCUCUCUCCUCAUUAACUCACUGCCACAUAAUCAAAAAUGCUGACAUGGCACCCUAAUUAAUGUGCAUGAAACUUCUAUGAAACCUGCACUGGGAUUAGUCUUAGCACCUAAAAUCCGAAAACACACGCCAAGCCAAAAUGUUGUGAUUAAUGUGCUCUCCAAAAAUUACAAUAUAAAGAGCGUCGAGGUAACUAAACAACCACAAACAUCCUGAAUACAUAAUUGAUGAAAACUGUCAUAUGGCAGUUCCUACCUAUUAGGCUAUUACCACUAUUCUAAUGUAGCAUAACACGAAAUAAAUAAUUUAACUGCGGUUAACAUCUUGACCCUCGUAGUUGUUGCUUGCCGUGCAAUCAACUAUUGCACAACAGCUAUUCAGCUAGUUUGCCCUAAAAAAAAAAAGCUAUUCAGCUAGUCAGGGUAGAUCUCCCGUGGUGCCAUUGAAAUAGACAGCUAUUCAGCACACCAUCUGGUAAGGCUUCAGUGUCGUUCCAGGAUAACAAAUCUGAGCUCCAACAGACAAAACUAGCGAAGUCAACUGAGGGGGUGUUUGGAUACUAGGUGCUAAACUUUAGCAGUGUCACAUCGGAUGUUCGGAUGCUAAUUAGGAGGACUAAACAUAAGCUAAUUAUAAAACUAAUUGCAGAACCCCAAUGUUAAUUCGUGAGAUGAAUCUAUUAAGCCUAAUUAAUCCAUCAUUAGCAAAUGGUUACUGUAGCACUACAUUGUCAAAUCAUGGACUAAUUAGGCUUAGUAGAUUCGUCUUGCGAAUUAGACUCCAUCUGUACAAUUAGUUUUGUAAUUAGUCCAUGUUUAAUAAUCCUAAUUAACAUACAAACAUUUGAUGUGAUAGGUGCUAAAUUUUAGCAUGAGGUAUCCAAACACCCCCUGAGAAAACCCCCUGAGAAAACAGCCAUGGGAUGCCAUAGGUGCGGUUGGAAUUGAACGAGCUGUCCCAACUUGGCUCAACAGGGUCUUUUCAUAGCAUCCAAUUGGGCUUGAUCUGUUGAUCAACCCAUGGGAAUUUCAAGCCGCGAAGUUCAAGGGAGGAGGAGAGUUCUGGUUGACCUUAUCUUGCCAUUUCCUGCAAAAAGAAAGAAAGCAUAGGUAACCGAGAUAUCCCAAUGAAAUGGGGAAAACAUCCUCAACCAGUGCAACAAAAUUCUGAGGCACCUCAGGGACGAAUUUCUCUCAAAACAAUGAUCAUGGGAAAUUGUAAUGAAGGUCCUUUUGGGAAAUGAUCAAGAAAUUUCGGUGAGCUUAAUCGUCACAAGCACAUUUCGAAUAUAUAUAAAAAAACAACCUAUCUAUUAAAUGUCGGCUGUUACAUUGCAUGGUGCACACACAAAAAAGUGUGUAUAUAGGAUAGGGAAUUUGGCAUACUGCAACUUUUUAAGCUAACAAAAAAUGCCUAAGAGCAUGGCACUUUUACAAAAAUCACUGAGUUCCAGACAUGCACAAUGAUAUAAUAACCAUAUAAUUUCACCAGUUAACCGAAAAGUUACUGCUACUUUACUAAUGGAAUUUACAACAUAUUGCCAUUAGCAAUUAAUGUUAACCAAAAUAACAGCUUCUCAUUUUUUUUUCUCAACCAGAUGCAUCAUGGAUAGGUGCAAAUAUUUCCUGGUUGCGAGCAAUUUCUUCCUGAAUGGUAACAUCUCGACUAGCUCCAAUCAACAGACUAAAAAAUAACAGUAAGCACAUAUUGUGGCUAGCACCAACUUGAAGUUUGCCAGCGGUAUACUACCAUAAUAUUUUCAGUUUGAACUCGUCCACUGAAGCUGUUUUCAGCAUUGAAUGCUCAUUGAUGUCACAAAAUAUACAGUUUUCAUUACUUCAUGAUCAUCCAAAACAAAUCUAAAGACACCAUAAGUCACAGGUUCAUGAAAUAAAUGUUUGUUCGUUCUGGUGAUUUUGUAGUGACAAUGAGGUAUGCACUUCUCUUAGUGGCUCAUGGUGCGAUUAUUUCACAGGUCCACAACAUUUUUAUAAAAUACAGUGCUUGCUCAGAAAUAUGCAUUUUACCAUAAUAAACUCGUGAUCGAUUCAUCAGCAAUUAAUGUACUUCAGGGCCUCAGGCGAACUCAUUUAUCUAAGGACAGACCCAAAUUUAUUAUAAGUGCUUGUGUUCUGGGAGCAGCAAGCAGCUUCACAAGCAAGGAUCAUACCGAAUACAAGCUCUGAACAUAUAGCAAAGCAAGGAACAAUUUCCAGCUAAAAAUAAAUCAGGACGGGAACAGGAAAGUUGGCUAAGAGCACAUCAGAUCAAAACUAUGAGAUACUGCUUGACAGUUCAUAUUCAGAUAAUUCUCCAAUCAAGGAGGCAAAGAACAAAUCCAGAAUAUCUGAAAGUGAACUUCCAAUUAUUCUUCCUAAUUGAUUUACUUGGCAAUCCACUUGCUAAAAGCUGGCUUUGUUAGGAAAGAUGGGUUGGAGCUAUUACCUCACAAUUGUUUUGGCAAGUGCCCUUGGCCGUUCAUAACCAUCUUUAGAAACAUCUUUUGCACUGUCAUUUGAUGCCUGUUCCUCAUUGCACUCAUUGUUGUCUUCUCGUUGCUGCCUAGGUUGUUUUCUUGAUUCAGGCUUCCAGCAUGCUUUUGCAAGUGACUUGCCAAGUAAAUCAGCAAUACUUAUUGCCAUUUGCUCAGCUUGCUGCACCUGAGGAAAGUUGUCUUCCUCAAAAUGAUGUGACAGCCACAAAUACAUUGAUAGGACCUGGUGCUUUGUCUCAAGGUCCAGAAGCUCAGUGUCAUUUUUUGCAGAAGCCCUUGGCACUCCCAUUGCGAUGCUAACACGACGGCUUUGGCUAUAGUGAGUGGCAAAUCUUAGAAGAUGGUACAUGGCUUUUGGAUCCCUUAUAUUAACUGGAGCAAAAAUGAAAUUGUAGCGAUCCUUGAGGGAUAGCCCCUGGACCCUCUCGAGCAUAUUAGCAACCUUCUUGAUACUGUCCUGCUGGCACAUAAAGUAUGUCUUAUCAAUGCGACAGUUAUCACGAAAUUUAUCCAACAGGUCAUUGAAAGAAAGGUCUGGGAAUUGGCUGGCAAACAUUUCCACUUGCUCAAAGCAAGGAAAAAGACCAACUUUCUGUGCCUCCUCAAACGGCUGCUGCAGGCACUGAAUCAAAUAAUCCAAAUCGUCCUUCAAGAAAGUUGUUGUGAGUCCAUCAGGGUAAAUACUGCCCCUCCGACCAGCACGGCCAGCAAUCUGCUUUACCUGCGAGGCAGGAACUGGUACCAUCCUUUCCCCAUUGUAUUUGGCCAAGUUAUAAAAUACAACCCUCCUAAUGUUAAGGUUCAGCCCCAUACCAACUGCAUCACUUGCUACAAGAACAUCAUACUCGUUAUCCUGCUCAUUGAAAAGCUUUGCUUGUUGCCGUCGUGUCUCUGGUGGCAGAGCUCCAUAAAUAACACAGCACUUGUGCUUUGUAAACUUCUCAAUUGCCAGCCUCACCUCGAAUAUCUCCCUGCGUGAGAAAGCAACAAUGCAGUCACCAGAGCGUACAUUCUUGAGGUCCCCAAGAAGUGUCUUUGCCUCAACAACAAGAGGCUUGAAUCGCUCAUACUGAUGCACCUCCAAAUCAUCUCCGGUAUCUGCACAAAUCUUGCGGACAAUCUUGAGCACACUAGGGUCACCACAGAGGUGUAUCUCAUCUGCCUUGAGCCCAAGCACAGCGCGUGUCCAUGCAAAGCCCCUGACUGGGUCAGCCAUCAUCUGAAUCUCAUCAACCACGGCAACUUCGUAGAGCUCCUCGGUGGACACCAUCUCAAUGGUACAUGCGACAUGGUUGGCGAAAGGCACUUCCUUAACCUCCUGGCCGGUGCGGAGGGUGCAGUAGACUCCGAGGGCAUUGACCUUGUCGAAGACCUCCAUGGCGAGGAGCCGGAGCGGGCUGCAGUAAACCCCGGACUUGGCGGCGGCGAAGCGGGUGAGUGCGUUGUGCGUCUUGCCGCUGUUGGUGGGGCCGCAGUGGUACACGAUCUUGCGGCGCAUGGCGCGCGCGAAGGGGUACCAGGUGUCCGGCGCCGUGAGGUCGGCGGCGGUCAUCACCGACCUGUGCUGCUUCAGCUCGUCCGCGAAGUUGGCGAUGCAGAACUCGGCGAAGGCCGGGAGGAGUAGCGCGUGCGCUUCCUCGGCAGGGAGGGAGAGGAGAUGCGCCGCGGAGUCCCUGGAGAGGCGCGGGAGGAGGAACGUGCGGAAGCGGCGGACGUAGGUGGGGAAGGCGGAGGAUGGGACGUAGAGCGCGAGCGCCUGGUCGCACAUGGCCGGGCUCUUGGCGAAGCCGCGGACGAGGGCCACCACGGCGUCCCACGUGGCCUUCGGGAGGUGGGUGGAGCCGGCGGCGGGGUCCCAUGCGGAGAGCUCGCUCCAUAGUUGCUUCGGGUCAAGAGGCGGCGGCUUCGGAUUGGGAUCACCGGCCGUGUCGGCGGAGGAGAAGAAGCGAUGCUGGGGCGGGAGCCAUGGGGACAGGGGUUGCGGCGAGGGGCGGUGGAGGUGGGAGAGGAGCGGGAGGAUGAGGCGGUGGUUCGGGGAGGAGGUGGAGCGGCGGAGGAGCGCCGCGGCGAUGGCGGCGGCGGCCAUUGGGUUGGUUGGGUCAGGCCGGCGACACGGCGGCGGGGGGAAAGAAGGGAAUGAAGGGAGAGGCGGCGCGCGAGAGGCGGGCCUAGUGGGCCGUGGUGGGCUGGGGCUCGGAAAUUGAGGGACGAGGACGAUAGCUAUGAUGGGCUAAUGCACAAAUAACAAUUCCUUUUGGACUCGAAUGUGAAACGCCGCUCUCCCUCCACCCCCAACCGCAAUCCCGCAUCCUCCACUCCCGAUCGAUUGCAGUUGCAGUCUUGCAGCUCGUGCGCCACACACAGACACGACCCCUCUGGAAACCCAGGACUCCUCGGAUGCGGUGCCUGCCCUGCGCCGCGUCCACCACCGCGCCCUCCGCGCGCGCCGCGGUCAGUAGCAUCAGCCGCCGGAGGGUUGUUGUCGAGGGCGCCGCCUCGGCAACCCACGACGGCGAGGAAGCGCCUCCGAGGUCUGACUGUUCUCUUUCCGCGCACUAGCUUUUUUUUGUUUUUGCGCCUCAUGAUUUUGAAUGACAAUCAAAUAGUUCUGGGUUGCUACUGUACAUGCUUAGCUCGCGUUCACGGUUCAGUAGUUGGUGGUUCCACUUCCAUCCCCAAUUCCCAACAUCCAAGUAUUUUUGUGCGUCUCAGUCAGUGUAAUGUGUGCUGAUUCAUACAGUGCGUUUUAACUUGAGGCACUUCAGGAUUGGAAUUGGAUAGGAGUUUAAUUACGUUUCGGGUUAGUUAAUAAGAGUAGCACAUCAGUCGGAGGAAGUGACGGUGCCUAUUAGGAUGACGUGUACUAAUGUCCCCACGAGGACGCCGUUGCAGAUUCCUGGUGUAGCAUUUUGUCACCUUCAAUGUAAAUCCCACCUUGUAACUGCAAAAAUCUCUGUUGACCUUUCAAAAAAAAACAAGUACUAAUGCCACUGACACUCUGCACUUGCUUUUGGUGUUGCUAGCGGAUUGGAUAGGUUUUAGUUUUCUCAUCCUUUCCUUUUACUUCUUAGCUGGAUGCUCACUGCUCAUCUAUCUUCUUCUCUUUGUUUUUCCUUAUUGAAUCUUCCAGAUCAUUGAGGGCAACAUGUGAUCUUGGUGAAAUGUCAAGCAAAACAUUAUUGCUUGUGUCAAAGAGGAAGCUUAUUGCCUUGUCAGCCUUUUGUUUUAGCUUACAUUCUUCAAGGUACUUAUCAGGUUCGGACUAAGUGACAUUGGAAUUUAGGUAUUUAUAGAAAUUUAUCUGGCUCCUUUUACCUGAACAGGCAAUUUCUUUUUUGUAACAUGUUACUUUAUAAUUGUUCAUGGUCUGGGCUCUUUUAAUUUGGCCUUUUGUUACUGCAGCACUUGCUUUGGGUGAACCAUCUGUCAAAAUUGAGGAUGUGACUCCUAAGAUUUUCCCAUCUGGCCCAUUAUUUCCAACUGAGGUCAGUGCUCAGUUGAGCCUACUUCCUUGGUUUAUCCUGUAAGCUUGUUCUCAAAAUAUAUUUACACCUCUUUGGGUCAUCCUCCUGAAUGACAGAAACGGAUCGCGGAGCUUUUUGAAACAAAUACUUACUCAGUCGUCAAUAUUUUUGAUGCAACACUACGGCCUCAGCUUAAUGUAACUGGCAUCGUGGAGGUAAACUAUAAGCAUUUUCAUGUUCCAAGUUCGGACUCAACAGUAUUUGUUAAUUGUUUAAUGCUCCUUAGAAGGAUUAGAAACAUGCUCAUUAUUCUUUCUUCUCCAUCUAAUAAUUUGAUCGAGCUAAAACUAGAGUACUAGACAAAAACUUGAUGAUUCGUUGUUCUGUUCUUGUUGGUAUCUUUUGCAGAUAUCGUUUAAAUGACAUAUUAUUAAUAUUAGUAAAGGUGUGAGACGCUCUUGUUUCAAUGAAACUUCUCAUCCAUUUUAGAUCCCUGAAGGAAAUGGUUCUGGUGUAGUGUGGGAUGAUUCUGGACAUGUUGUUACAAAUUAUCAUGGUAUGUUAAUCUGAGAUGAUCACACCUCUACUGUAUAUGAGGCUAUGAGCAAUAUGAGCUCACAUCUUUUUUGUGUUUCACAGUGGUUGGUAGUGCUCUUUCAAAAAAUCCCAAGCCUGGUGAAGUCGUUGCACGUGUCAACAUUCUUGCUGCCGAAGGGUAAAUACUUAUUUAACUGCACUCGCUUGGAUAUAUUCGUUGAACUAAGUAUGAUGAAGCCACAAAGGUACCAGCAUUCUUGUAUAUGCAUGAAAACUAAUAGCCUCCUUUAUCUACUUGAAAGGAUACAGAAAAGUUUUGAUGGAAAAUUGGUUGGUGCAGAUCGUGCUAAAGAUAUUGCUGUUCUUAAGGUAAGAUGUAUUUGACUAAUGCAGUGCUCUGUAGGCUACAUGUCAUUUCACCAUAGCUCAUCCUUAUCUUAUUUCAAUGUAUGACAUCAUAAAAAAAGCAUAGAGGACCAAUUCCAUUACCAAACAUUCCUCCUAAUAAACAGAUUGGGUAUCUGUUCCCUUCCUUUUCACCCUAGGAUUGGAAAUCUAAAUCCUCCUAGUGUUCAGAAAUGGAAAACCCAGAACCUGGAGGAGUUAUGUAUGUAGGAUAUGGUUGUUUUUGUUGGAAGGCAGUAGAAUAAUUUUUAUACACAGCAGUAUAGUUCUCAACUGAUCUCACAUACCAUCUCAGUCUUCUACAUGUGUCUUGAUCAAUUAUUUUUGUUAUUGACUCAGAUGGCAUAUGUCACAGAUCUUUGAAAGUGGAAAGUCAAAAAAAUUGAAGGAUGUAAAUGUGUAAUACUUGAUAGCCUUUAUUUUCACUAGAAAAAUCACAUCUCCCGUUUGCUAACCAAUUUAAUCAAAGUCCUUUUGUAAUACUGUCCUGAGUUCAAUAAUUGUGUUUAUUAACUUUUCAUCGUCCAUUGCAUUGGAAAAAUUCUAAACCAUCAGUUUCUUUCAGUAACUAAUACGUGGACAUGUAAUAGGUCGAUGCUCCUACAGAUCUUUUGAAGCCAAUUAAUGUGGGACAAUCCUCGGCCCUAAGAGUUGGUCAGCAAUGCUUAGCAAUUGGAAAUCCUUUUGGUUUUGACCAUACUUUAACUGUUGGUGUUAUCAGUGGUUUAAAUCGAGAUAUUUUCAGUCAAGCUGGGGUGACAAUUGGGGGUGGAGUUCAAACCGAUGCAGCUAUUAACCCUGGUAACAGGUUUGUUGCUUUGGCUUCAAAUGAUUUUAUAUACUAAUUAUCUUCUUCAAACGAAAAUUUAGAUUUCAGAACUCACUUUAGAAGAUACUGUUAGCACCUAGUGUAAUGCUUCAGUACUGGUUUUAUGUUUCUGUUAUACUUGGCUGAGCACAUAGACAGCCUAAGCUUUUUUGUCUCUAGUUUUCCACCUGACUUACAUAUGAUUUCUACUUAUACCUGAUACCACUUUACAAAUUGCAUAGAGAGGUUCUUUGUCUAUUGUAAAAGUGCAAAACGGUGAAAUAGUAUUUUAAAAUAGACAUUACUAUUGUAUCAGUGGCUAUACAAAUGAGGAAUUGCUACUCAUUUAAGCGACUAGCAUCAGGUGUCAUGAACUCAUGGUGCACAGAUUCCAGGCCAAAUUCCUGUUAUAGCGGUCACCAUAAUUAUUGUAUCAGUGGUUAGCAUGUUACUGUGAAACUUAGUAACAUCAUCGUCAAGUUAUGAGACUGACAGACUUUAAUUUCUAACCUCUUUGUGAAAGCUAGUUACCAAUUUCUCCGUACUUGAUGUUCUGAUAUUUUUAGCUUACCGCAUUCAAUAUACAAGUUUUUUUUCUCGAACAAUUCAAUAUACAAGGUAGAGCUUUAUCUUAUCCAUACCCUUGUUUUACUAUCUAUUACUGUUUGCCUCCUACGCCCCCGGCUGAACAUAGUCAAAAGAACAUGGGCCGGUGCAGCUUGCGUUAGGGCCUGGGGCAGUGCAGGCUUCCUGGGCCAUUAUUUCUCUAUGCCUGACACCAUAUACAAGAGAGUACUUGGGCUGGACACCCCCCCCCCCCCCCCCCCGGGUCCUAGAUCCGCAAGUUGAACUAGCAUUGCAAAUGGUCAUUUGUACGCAAUUGGCCUUGCUACAUCAUUAAGAUCUUGUACUUCAUCAUUAUUUCUUCAUUAAAUCUCAGGCGCUAUGAUUUCUUCAACUAAAAUGGUAUUGCAAACCAUUUUGCUAACUAUGUUGUUUUGAUGAAUCUCAUACAGUGGUGGUCCUUUGCUUGACUCAAAGGGGCAUAUGAUUGGUAUUAACACAGCAAUUUUUACACAGACAGGUAAGUUUAAUCCCAUUUUGUCAUGUAAACUGUACUAGCAAAACAUGAUUAGGUACCUAAAUCCAUAGAUUAAUCCUUAUGAUGAGAUGUUGCUAGUAGAUGUUUGUUCUUUAUAUACCUAUACAUGGUUACACACAGGGAUUGGAAUUUCAUUUUUUGAAAUGUUUCGGUCCCCAUCGAAAACACCGAAUUUCGUGAAAUUUCGGCCAAAAUUUGGACAAAAGGUGUAUCUUUCGGUGAAGAGAGCGAAAUUUCGGGCAAACAGUAAUUUCGGUCACUGUCGAAAAGACCGAAAUUUCACGAAAUUCGCGAAAUUUUGGCCGAAAUUUUGAACACUGGUUACACAUACCUCAGCAUCUGCGCUCUUUAGUCAAGAUCAGUGAAAGGGACAUAUGUAACAGUAGUCUCACAACUGUUGCUUUCAUGGUCUUAACGAGCUGAUCGCAAAGUUGAACUACAUGUAUUUCUGUUUCAUUUUCUAGAUUGCAUUGUUCAUUGUAUUGACUGCUGUUGUUACGACAUUGAAUGACUUGCAUUUUGUAAUUUGACAAUGGCUUAUAUCCUAGUCUUCUAGAGGCCAAGAGUUUUAUAUAUGUCGCUAUUCUCUUAAAAAAAAUGGAUUGAUAUAUAAUUGUAUAUUCUGCACAUCCUAGCUGCUAACUAGACCAUAAAUUUGUUUUAUUCUGUUUGUAUUGACCUGGUAGUGCAUAUUGCUUAAAUCAGAUUCUUUAAUUUAACUUAAGUUUAUGUAGUUUCAAUGGUUAUUAGGCUGAAUGCAACUGUUUCUUCGAGUUGCAGGAACAUCUGCAGGUGUUGGUUUUGCCAUCCCAUCAUCAACUGUACUUAAAAUCGCUCCUCAACUAAUUCAGUUUGGAAAAGUAUGUUGCCUGGAUACCUUUCAGUCGCAUUACCAUCUUCAUUCUCCAAAGUUUUCUAAACUUGGCCUUGCAAUCACCUGUCAGGCUUGCUGUGAUGCCAUAUGUCAAGACAAGCGUGUCUGUCAUGCAUAAAACAUUGUCUUCCAUUGAGAGAAAUCUAUCAAUAAACUAUUACCAUUUAAGAUGUUUGCACACAUUUUUUUUAUUUCCAAUUGUCCCCAGUAAGUACGGUUUGCAUAACUGUAGAUCAGAUGCUUCGAAUUUCCAUAGCAAGUUGUUUUUCUUUUUUCCCUUUUCUUAAAGCAAGGUAUGAGAAGUUAUCCAUUGUUGGAGACUAAGGUUCGGCUGAUCAAGUUCUUUAAACAGUAUAAUGACCUUUUUUUUUAAGUGACACUGAAAUUAUUUUGGUCUGAAUUUUGCCUAACUAAAAGCCAGUUAUCCCUCCCCUCACGCAAUCACUUGCACUGCAUGUUCUGCUGUGCCUUGAAGGAUCUUUUUUGCAAAAAAAAUAAAUAAAAAUUGAAGCAUGAGUAAGCAAAUUGGGUUGUUUUCUUAUUAGAUCAUUUGUUUUCAUUUGUUCAUUGUUGAGGCAUGUGCUUAGUUUCUUCAAUUUGUUUUGGUCUAAGUUAUUUUUCAUUUCUCUCUUAAGGUCCGCCGUGCUGGCUUGAAUCUGGACUUUGCUCCAGACCCAAUAGCAUAUCAGCUUAAUGUUCGCAACGGAGCUCUUAUCCUGCAGGUAGAUUGAAUCUGUUGUGCUCUUCUGUUCUGUUGGCCAAACAGGAUGCUGUCAAUGUUUUAUUGCUCUGGUACUCUGCGGUAUUCCCUGAUCCCAUCAGAUCUUUCUCUGUAGGUUCCUGGGGGCAGUGCUGCAGCCAAAGCAGGUCUAGCUCCUACCAGCAGGGGUUUUGCUGGCAACAUUGUUCUUGGAGAUAUCAUCAUUGCAGUUGACGGCAAACCUGUAAGCGCUUAUUGACGAAGUUCUGUUCAGUCUCUUUAGUCUUGCAGAAGGCUCUUAGGACGUGGAUAGUCUUAUGACACCCUUCUUCUGUUCCUUGUACCGUCAUUCAUGGAGCAGGUCAAAGGCAAAUCUGAUCUGCUGAGAGUUCUGGAUGACUACGGCGUCGGGGAUCAGGUGACCUUGACAGUCCGGCGAGGCACUGAAACCCUUGAGGUAACGUUGCCUUUAGAAGAGGCAAACAUCUGAUGCAUUCCUGAAGUGGGGGAGAUUCCGCAUGCCCAAGCUGUCGCGUUAAGUUUGUACCAUCGGCCAAGCUGGCCACACUCCCGUUUGAAGCAAUUUCGCUAGGGAAGGGUCUAUUCAGGGCUCCUUUUCGCCAUAGGGGUUCACUGCACAUGUAUGUACUGUAUAAGCUCCACUUCCAGCGCUUGUUUCAUGUCGCCACCAGUCUGACGUUUGAGAGCCAACAGCUGAAACAUUGUGUGCCGUCUGUUUGCGACCAGUCUGAUCUGAUCAUCUUGUGGAUCGUGAUCAAAUCGAGGUCUUGUUCUCUCUUUCUCGGUAAGGUGUUUGUGGCAGGCACAUCUGCUCGUCGCGCUGGCGAGGGCGCGGCGCGUUUGGCGUUGCCGGGCCUCGCACGCGCGCUGCGGGACGGGAGUGGCGGCGCGGGGGGGGAGUGGCAGGCGAGGACACACGACGGCACGGCGGACGGCGGUGAGCGGCUGAUUAGAAAUGCUUCGCUUUCCUCUACCCGCGCGCUUUAAGUUAAAACCAGCCAGGGGAUUUUACCCAAAGAAAGCGAAAGGUAGGAGGGGAAGGGGAAUGUCCCUACGAGCGGCAACAGCGGCGGCGGGGUGCUUUUACCGCGCGGCGUGGCGGGCGGGGCUUCCGGCCUCCGCUUUGGAUCUUUGAACGGGCCAUGCUUUCGGCCUCGGGCCCACUCAAUCCAAGGCGACGAGAAGAACAAGCCGGGAAGAGGAAGAAACAUAAAGCGAGCGACAAAGAGGAGCUCGCUCCAGCACAGUGCACACCACACAGGAGCGCGAGGCCAUGCUCUGCGCCUCUGCCCCACCUUGGUUUUUUCUGCUUCCUCUCGUCCUCGUCUCUUUGCCGCGCUGUUCUCGCGUGGGGGAGGGCGCUCGGCUUGCUUGAUAGGGAAGCUUCCAAAGUACGCGCGGGGCGAAAGCGCCAGUUUGGAUUGGAUGAUCUGCAUCCAAACCUAGAAAAACAAAAGUGUAGGUGAGCCCUCCUACUCCUAGUGCUGCUAGUCCUCCAAACCAAGCCGCGCGCUUUGUUUUCCACCUGGCAGAAUCUUCCAAAAUAGCGUUCAGUGAUCCACAAUACUACUGCAUGCACUAGUGCACUACUAGCUCUUUGCUCUUUCCUUUCCUUUUCUUUUUCUUCGUGGUCACGCCCACUUUCCUUUCCUUUUCUACCACAGUAAGUACAAUCGCUAAUCCUUCAGUAGUUACAGUACCCGGUAACAAUGUCUCAUACGGAGUAGUACAUCAUAACCAAUGCACGGACGCUUUUGUUCCUUUGUACCAAUCCACGCCACGGGGUUUACAUGCAAAUGCGCAAGCGAACCUCAAGUAUGUGCAAAGAAAAAAGGGCAAUGUGUUGCCUUGUUGGGUGUUCAUCCCUUUGGGCUUUACGCUUUUGGACCGGCGGAGAUCUCCCAUUCCUCCCUCACCCAUCUCUGUUUCAGAUGCGGCCUAGAGACGGGAGGGACCCCCUAUAACUACAAACGCAAAGGCGCACAAGGCGGGCUGGCAUUGUAAAACAGCGGAGAUGGUAGCCGGAGCUUCUCAUACCAGUACCAGCAUUACCAUGUCACAAAGCUAAGCUCCGGCAGUAGUGUGUGUCACAGCUAGCAGCAAUCUGCUAGCAUCGAUCGCCCCCCGCUAUUGCACAAGGGAGAGGAGAGAAUGAGAGUCCUCAGGCUUGCGGUGCUGGCGGUUCUUGUUCUUGCUGCUCUUCUGAGCUCCGGCCCUGUCGAGGUCCGCGGCGUCAGAGUGCCGGCGGCCGUGCUCGCCACCGGCCAGACGGGAACCCGGAGCGCUUCCAUGCCGCCCGAGCAACGGACAACGAGGACGCCCGCCGCGGGCGGCAGCCGCGCUGCCGCUGCUAGCGGCGCCAGCGCCAGCCUUGACGCUUCCAAGGAGGGCGCGGCGGGCGGCGGGUCCCCUCCCUCCACGGUGUUCGACCCCGACAGGAUGAGCAAGCGCCGGGUCCGGAGAGGCUCCGACCCCAUACACAACAAGUGCUGAUCGCUUCAUCGACGACCCGUGCUGUUGCAGGGCUUCCAAGUGUCAAUUCCCUCGGUUUUCUUCGGAUUUUUCUCUCCUCGAACCUUCUUUUCUCUCUUUUUUUCCCGGUUAGCUUUUUUUUUUCCCCUCUUUGAGGUUUGAAGAGCUGUUCUACCUACCUUCUAGGGUGCAAACGAUUUUGCCGCAGAAUGAAAUACUUGUACAGAGAUGCAUGUCAAUCGAAGACGAAUGGGCACGUUGCUGCCGCAACGAACUCCCGAGUUGAGUAUCUUGAGAUCCAUGUUUUUGUAUGUUGUGUUCAACUCGAGUUACUUUGCAAAAUGUGUAAGUAGAACGACGUGCAAAAGUGCGGAUCUCUGGUGGAGAUCGAUUCAGAGUGAUGGCCGGUCGGCACCGCACCAUAGGCAAGCUACAAGCUAGGGAGUACCGACGGCGACGGUCCGGCUAGGCGGCUACUACGUUCACGCACGGCAGCGGCGAGUCGGCGACCGGCGAGGCAUGCGGUGGGCCUGGUAUGCGUCUAGCCCAUAGGCCGUGCCAAACGCUGACGGGCCAGCCACAGGCCACGGGCCAUGGAAAUAUUUCAACCUCCAACCUAGCUACUAUCCCGGAAACUUCAUAUAAUUUCUCCACAGGAAUCAUGCAAGUGCAAUUCAUGAAAGUGUUGCAUAUUAACUAAAAAAAAUUAAAGUGUUGCAUAUUUAUGCAAUCUAAAAUCUAAAAUUUUUGAAAAACGUAUACAAUCUAAAAUAGCUAGAUGAAACAGUAACAUAAAACAACGGGAAAGACAAAUAAAUUUCGGGAAAUUUUACUUGAUAACACUUCGAACGUGUUUGCAUUGGAAAACAGCACAAGCUACCCGCACCAAAAAAAACAGUACAAGUUGCGAGCAACCUCUGUGUUACACCAUGGAAGAAAAAUGCGAGAAAUGACAUGUGGGCCAGUGCAGCAGAUGCCUUGACAUGCGCCGAGUUCGGAGUAGUCUGUACUCUGUAGCGGUAAGCGCAGCCUUCACGGCCAUCCAUGCUGAGCCUUGGAUCACAGGAUCAGGCGGCAGCCGUCCGAUCUAGGUCAGCUUCCGGCACCCUCCCUUUUAUCCGCUCCCUGCCUCAUCCCACCAAGUUUAUUCGCCCAGGGUUUUAGCCGCCGCCGCCGCCGCUUCCCGAGCAGAGAGAGAGAGAGAGAGAGAGGUCGACGCCAUGGUGCAGCGGCUCACGUACCGGAAGCGGCACAGCUACGCCACCAAGUCCAACCAGACCAGGGUCGUCAAGACCCCAGGUGAGAUCCACCUCCGCACGGCCUGAUUUCCCCUGAUGACGGCGAUUUGAGUUCUUCCGCUGUUCGGCGUUCUAAUUGCCACGCGAUUGCUGCAGGAGGGAGGCUUGUGUACCAGUACACCAAGAAGCGGGCGAGCGGGCCCAAGUGCCCGGUCACCGGCAAGAAGAUCCAGGGGGUAAGCCACCGCACGCCUUUUCAGAUUGGGAACCGUAGAACAAUCUUGCUGUCGAUCCUGCUGCGAUAGUGUGGCUUUAGCUUAGUGUACCAGCUAUCUGGGAUUGGAUUAGUCUCUGGACAUAAUGCCUGUGCCUGUGCAGCAGUUCUGUUUCACUGAAUGAUAGAUUGGACCUGUUGUUUACAUGAAUGCAUUGCCCUUUUUGCGUAUUUCAGUGGUGUCCGGGGGUUCAAUUUGUAUUAAUUGCAACAGUGGUAGACAUGGUCGGUCAAUGCAAAUCAAAUUGGUUAUACAAACAAAGGAGUUGUGCUAGUUAUGGUCUUUAAAUCGUUUGUUGAUAAGGUUUCUUGGUAAAUGAACAAAGAUAAUCCACAGCAUCAGAUUAUAGGGAAGUAGGCCCUGUGGCUUUGUUGCAAGCCUUCAUGAACUGUAAUAUGUACCUGUAUGUCAGAUACUAGUUCGUUUGUUCAACUCAUAGAAGCUUCCAAAGUGAUUCAAAUCAUGCAUUGUUAUGACAUAUUGACUUAAUGAUUUGCUGAUUCCUCAUGUCUAUCUGUCACUGGCACAAUAAUAGGCUGCUAACUGAUUUAUAUAUUGUGGGAAAUAUAUUCUUAGACCAGUACAGCUUGUAGUCGCAGUUUUGCAGAAGCUAACUUGCUUCUGUAAUAAUAAUGUACUGCAAGGAAUACAUUCCUUGAUGGUGCAAAUUUGUUUCAUGCUGUAUGUUGUGUUGAGUUUGUUCAUGUAAGCUAUAACAAUGUUCUGAUAUCUUGUAGAUACCUCACCUGAGGCCUGCUGAGUACAAGAGAUCCAGAUUAUCCAGGAACAGGAGGACCGUGAACCGUCCUUAUGGUGGUGUUCUGUCUGGUCAGGCUGUUAGGGAAAGGUUAGUACGGUUUCAUAGUUUCACCUGUUGAUGCUGACUAGCAUAGUGGACAGUAGUAUUAUGAAUCUUCUAUCCAUUUCAUCUACUGACAUUCAUGUAUUACAGAAUCAUACAUGCUUUCCUUUUAGUAGUAUUACGUGUCUUUUGUCCAUUUCAUCUACUGACAUUCAUGUAUCAUAGGAUCAUCCGUGCUUUCCUUGUUGAGGAGCAAAAGAUCGUGAAGAAGGUUCUUAAGAUCCAAAAGACCAAGGAGAAGACGACUUCAAAAUGAGACGGCAAAAUCUUUCUAUACCCAUGAGAACUUUUUGGAGGACGGUGGUGAUCAAUGCUUAGUCAAAAAUCCGUAUUGGUAUGCUAGGCUGGUGGUUUCUGAAUCUAGCUAGAGAUUGUGAUCAAUUUUCCAUGUUGUCGGGAUGGAAGUCUAGACAUCUUCUCCCAUGUUCUGAUCCUUGUGGUUGGCUACUAGUUAUAUAUCAACAGAUUUUCAGUGCUUUCUGAGCAUUAUUUGUGCCCCUCUGUUCUUGAAAAAGAAUGUUCUACAUAUGUUGCAUGUCGGUUGGUGUGCUUUUCGGGUUGGUCUAUUCGUGAAAUGCACCUUGAGCAACGUGGUGUUUGGAUUCCUCAGUUAGGGCACACCAGAUGAAGAAUUUUGAGAGACACAGGGAUGACUUUAUUGGUUAGUAUGAGCGAUCGUAAAAUCUUUUAUGCCGUCUUGCUGUCGAUGGGCUGAACGGUUUAUUUAGGAUAAUUGUUUUCAAUUUGGAACUUCGUAGUGCCACAUUUCCAAUUGCAGCAGGUUAACAACAUCAAUGACAAACCAUAUACUCACUGCAGCAGUGCAGCAAGCAUUAGCAUCUAUAGUAAAUUCCAAGCUCUCAAUGUUGGCAUUCACUGCAGCGACCACAAACAAGGGUUGCAGACAGACUAACAAGCAAGAUAAGCGGACUUCGCUCGACACAGUUCGCUAUGAUGUAUUCUGUUUGCAUAUAUGAGUUAAUACGUGUCCUAUUUUGUACGCGUAGGCUACGUUGGGUUGCCUCCAAUGGGCAACAAGACAUAAAACUGCUGGAAGGAAAUGUAACCAAGAAAAAAAUAAUAACAUUACGUGCCGUGCUGUUGCCGAGCAUUCGUUCGUCAGUCUAUUAGCCCAAGACUUCUCAUCUGCUCGGUCUGCUCGUCGUCAGCUGUUGUUUCAGUUAGUUUAGCAGCUUCCUUUUCAGUUAGUUUAUUAAGAUCUUCGCUUGUACCUCCCGUGCUCUUGCUCAGAUAUCUGCAGAUCUCGCUGGUGCAGUAGGCGGGCAUGAACAUGAAGCUCUUCUGGGCGUCAAGCUUCGCUGCUCCUCGCAGGGUUUUGUUCCAAACAUCGACAGCAACCACCAGCUCCAACUUUUCCUCACCCUUGUAUUCGGUCCUAGAGAGCAAGUAGACAGUAUCGUCGUCCAUGCUUACGGUGGGAUACGCCACCGGAACUUCCGGCAACGUUGCCCUGCCACUCAGCUUAGAAAGCAGCAGGUCCCCGGAGGCGUCCACGGCAACGUCUUUCGCUUCGACUUCGCACUCACUCCGCCAGUCCGUCCACGAACCGCCCGGCAAUGCCGCCAUGCUCCACGUCGUGGCCUUCCAGCUACCAGGGAUGACCUCGGAGCGCCUCGAUCCUACGCGCACCCAUUCCAAGUAGGAGUCAGGCAUGGUCUUGAUCACUGUUCGUGGCCGGGUUUCCAUCUCGACGUACUUGAUGGAGCCCCUGUUCCGGCUGACGGCGACGUCCCGGAUAUAGCCGGGGUCACGGUCCUCGAGGAGGUGGCUCAGCAAAGUAGCUUGAUGCAGUCUCACCAUGAGCUUCAUGACUCAUCAAGAGUUGAUACCUGUGUCCAAUCCAGUUUCAUCUCUUGUUAAAUUUGUUACCACUAAAGAAAGCAUCCUAAUUAACAAGGUUGAAACUUUCAUUGGGUGCCUUAGAGGACAAUAAUCAAUACAAAACUGAAUCGUACGGUUACAACGAACUGUGAAGAUAUUAACUGAAAGACUCAAUUUCAUGUAACUGCACAUUUCAUUUUCUUAUGACUUAGAAUAUCGCAAGAAUAUUCUUUUAAGAACUACUUUCCACUAAGUUACACUUCUAUCGGUGUUUUAAAUUCAAAGUUUGGAACAUCCAACAAUCACUUGCUCACUUGUUCCUCCUUUAUACUCCCCCCGUUUUUUUAGGUACACAGUUUUUGCUACGCAUUCCAUCCCAAAUUACUACUUUUUAAGGUACAGUUUGAAGUCGUAUAGCAUACAGAAGACAAGAGAGUACAUUUUGUCCAUCCAUCUUACCGAGUCCUUCCGUUCUAUUUCUGCACCUGAUAGGAGCUAGAUGCUGAUGACUGUAGUCCUGCUAAUGCAGCUGUUUCCAUCUCAAAGAUAAUGGAGUGCGAUCGAAAAAAAGUUCCAUUUUCAACAGCAAAAACUAAAAAGCAUUUGUCAAGAAUGGGAUUCGAACCCAUGCCCUUUCGGACCAGUACCUGAAACUGGCGCCUUAGACCAACUCGGCCAUCUUGACCUUUGUGACAUCUUUUCCAUUAAAUAUUUUAAUAACAGAUAAAAGGACGAGGAAGACCUCCCAAAAUUGCAAGAAGCCAAGAACCCGUCCCGACUCUCGACCCACAUCCCCGAAAGGCCGAAAGUACGAGGGUCCCGACCCAACGGCUAAACCCACUGCCGGACCAAAAUGGCGGCUCUCCUAAACCCUACGUCCCGGCGACUCGCCGCCGCUGCCUACCGCCGGAUUUCGGCGCCGGCGGCAGCGGAGCCUCUCGUGUCUCACCGGAUCUCCCAAGGUUUGCCCCCUUGCCCAUCCCUUUCUCAUGCAGCUGGAAGACAAUGCGUGCGUCUUCCGAUGUGGUGCUUUAGAAAUCCCCCUUUGCAUUCCUCCUCCUUUUUUCUUUUUUUGCAACCAAGAGUUGGUGGUCGCAGCUCAUACACGGUCUAGUAUUUAUUGUUCGGGAAUGUUCUAAAUAUUAGAUUUUGUGGGAUCCCUUCAAUUUUGUCGUGUCUGGUACUCUUGCUUCAGAAAUGAUUUACUAAUUACAACCCGAGAUGCUCCCCUGAAUUUGAAAGAAAAUACUGACUGUGCCCCUGCUGAAACCUUGGACAGAAAGAUACAGUUCCAGUCCAGUGGAUGUGAGUGGCGGGUUCAGCGAGAUGCUUCACGGUACGCAGAGGUACUAUGUGCUUGGAGGCAAAGGUGGUGUUGGGAGAACUAGCAUGGCCGCGUCACUUGCUGUGAAGUUUGCCAAGCAUGGCGAACCGACACUCAUCGUGUCUACAGACCUAACACGAUCACUGUGUGCUUCAUUUGAACAAGUAUCUCUGAACGCCUAUGUUGUGUACAUGCUGCUUGAAUUGAGUUUUUUAGUAUCUAUGUUGAGUGUCUUGCUUAUGCUGUUUAUAGGACUGGGACGUGAGUGACGGCAAAUCUGUACGUAUUGAUGGAUUUGACUCUCUUUAUGCAACUGAGGUAUGGGAAGUUAUGCUAGAAUUUUUGCCAUUGUACUUUGUAUAUUCUCUGCACUUCCGUGAUUAAGCAGGUGCUGUCCAGUUGGAAAAUAAACACCUUGGAUUGUGUUUGGUGGUAACCCAUUCGUUCGUUCUUUUAGCUCACUGGCGAACUUGCCAUUCUCUGGAGUUUCAAUCUUAAUACUGAUAUUUUAGCAUUAAAUCUAAUAAAUCUAACUGCAUUGAUUUUUUCUUCCUGGAAUGGAGUGUGCGCGAGUUGUCUAUUUCAAGAAUAGGUUGGAUCUAUCUGGCUGCACUUUCUAAUAGUUUUUAGUUCUUUGGUGCAUGAUCUUGACGAAUUACUUCUGAAUAACCUAAGGGAUCUAGCAUUUCACGGCUCAUUUCUGUAAAUCAAAUGCUUGGUUUUGUUUUUAUGCCCAAAGAUAAUCCAAAACGUUCCACUCCCAGCUGGAUGGCACCCAUGGGGUGAUGAUGCAUUUUCUGGCAUCACUGGUCUCUUUCCUGUCAUGCUAGUUUGGCUUUGACUAUCUGUUAUAUUGGUUGGAACACAUUCUUUUACAGAUUGGCUGUGUGAAGAUAGAGGGGGAAACAAGUUUUGGAUCUUUCAUCAACAAUGUACUUGGAAGGAUGGGGCUUGCAUCUGCUAAUCCGGUAUAAACUUCACAGAAAAUGUGCAUUUUCCUUCUCCAUUUCGUUUUAAUGGCCCUCCAAUAUAUUGUUGACCACAUCACUGGAUGAAUGUGACCAUAAAGGUUCAAGCUAUAGUUCUUUGCUGGCUAAGUGUGUAUUGAUUGCUGCACUGAUAUUCUCUUUUUUUGGUAUUGUGCCCUGAGGUGAAUUUGGAAUGCUUGAACUUUUCUAGGGGCUAUUAGGUUCGUAUGCUUGUUUUUGUUCUUUAGCAUGUAUCAUUGGAUCAGUUCUUCAGCAUUGUAGUUUAGUGAUCUGUUGAUCCCAGAUAGCACUUACACUUUUGGUUCUCUGCUGUCUAGUUCCGUGGAGAUUGCCAAAAACUAAACCUUUGUUCGCUACUUUGCUGUUGCUCGAGAAGAGAAGUUUUAUUUCUUUUAAUUCCUUGCUCAGAUCAUAUUACUUAUGCAUACAUUUGUCUUACCUUAAUUUCUUGCAAAGUUUACGCUCAAUGAGAUGCUGAAUAGAAUCCCCCCUGGACUUGAAGAAGCAUAUGCACUAUCAGAGGUAUCAAUCAAAAUUUACAUGAUUUAUUAUUUGCUGGUGCACUUUCCAAAAUUACUCAUCGCUUGAUGUGUAUCCUUUGCAGCUGAUAAAAUCAAUUGAACUGCAAGGUACCGAUAAAUUUAGGCGUAUAGUGCUGGAUGCUCCGUCCACUGUUUGUCCCCUUCUCACCACAAUAUUUUCAAUCAGACUAUACUUUUUAUCUUUUUUUUUCCAUUCACUGACAAUUAUUUGGCUACAAAUUUAUUGCACAGGGACAUACACUUAAGCUUCUGUCAGCUAAUAAUUGGAUUGAAAAGUUGCAAGAUAUGCUCAUUAAGGUGAGGUUUAAUGUAACUAGUGAUUUUAUCUGUUACAACUGAAUGCUACCUCCAUGAAACUCAUAUAUGUCUGUUUGUCUGUAAACUGUUAUACCAAACUGUUUUUCUGGGUUUCCCUGUUUUGAGUCGUUUGUACUCUGUUGGAUUACGGAGUAAAUGUGUUUAGUUCCAUUUCACCAAUCCCUAUUUAGACAUGCUGUUGUGAAAUAGAAGACGGUAAAUUCAACGCAGCACGCAAUCACAAAGUCAAAAAUCACAAUAUAAUUGACUUGCCUCAAUGUGGAAUAACUGUAUACUGCAGUACACUUUUGUUGCAAAUGCAUGUUGGUGGUAUUGAAUUGUUAAAGAAGAGAAGUGGUACAAAUAGAGUGUACCUCUUCAAGGCUACAAGUAUAACAAAACUUCUACAAGCUUGGAAAAUUGGAAAAAUUUCUGGCAACAUUCUUCCCUUUGAGUUUUUCGUGGACCUGGAAUCAGUCUUUUUGUUAUGCAAAUGUGUAAUGCAUGUUACUGCACAUUGUAAUUUCAGGGUGUAAAUGCCGCUUCAUUCGUGCCAGCCUUAAAGUUGUCUCCUGAGAACGGGCAAUUAAUUGUAAGUGUGCAAUAGUUCCCAGUUGAUUUAUAUUAAUGUGGGUUGAAAAGCAAACUACAAGUUUAUCAUCUUGUUUCAAGUCUUCCAGGCUAGAGGAACUAAGGCAGCAGACUGCCAGAGUGCGUGAGCUUUUGUUUGAUCCACGAGCAACAGAAUUCAUCAUUGUCACAAUUCCAACGGUAAAAGCUACCACCAUUUUUGCAAUUGCGGCAACAGCUAUUUUUUUUUAUUUUGAAAGACCAACAGCUAUUUGUUUUUAACUGUAGUUAUACCCUGUUGACAUCUGGAGUCAUGUUUACUCUUGUAUGUGUGGGCUACCAUGAACAAUAUCAUUAUGUUGUUGGGUACAUUCAGUCUGAUUCAAAAGAAAGAAAAAAGUCUGUCGACAUGAGAUCAUGAAAUACAUACAAGGCUGGCUGCAACGAGGAGUCAGCUUAUUCUUACUUGUGGGCCCUUGUUUUCCCAGAUGAUGGCAGUUGACGAGUCAUCAAGAUUCCACGCGUCCUUAAAGAAGGUUAGGGCGCACACAAGAAGGCUCGUCGUAAAUCAAGUGCUACAACCAUCUGCAUCCGACUGCAGAUUCUGCGCUGCAAAACGGAGGGUAAGCAAACUUCUGCCAUUCUUGCAACUCGCAACAUGUCCCAUGGCUUCUAGCACUUGAUCCGGAGAGGACAAGCCCAUGCACCACAAGUUUACUGCUUUUGGAUGGCUAUUUAGCGUGCCAUAUAUUUGUCAAAGGCUUGUUCCCGAAUGGCACAUCGGUUGUACUAGCUUUCAGUGUCUGAGUGGAAACUUGACAAUUUCAGGAACAAGCACGCGCCUUCAGUGCUAUAAGGGAGGACCGUGAACUUGGCGGCCUGAAGCUGAUCCAGGCACCGCUCCUUGAUGUGGAGGUGAAAGGCGUCCCUGCACUCCGGUUCCUGAGCGAUUCAGUGUGGAAAUAGAGAAGCUUUUUUUUGGUCGGCAUUUUUCCUUUCGAAUUUCAUCCUAUUGGUAUCUACUGUCGCCGAGUAGUCACUGCAAGAGGGUGGUUAAUCCUGGGCGUCAGAGAAGAUAAGCGCACGAGGAUCUCUUUCUGUUCAGGUCGUAGAGCUGCAGACGCUUGCUCACCAGCGGAGAACCCUGGCUUAACACGUUUGUUUUACCAGUGUGUGUUGUCUGAAAUGUGAAGGGAUAAGCUGGAACGGCUCAGCGGUGCGUCUUUUUUCUGCCAGUUCUCAUGUGCUCCGAUUCUAAAGAAGUCCACACGCAAGUCCAUUUUAUGCAGGGUUAACACGUACCAGUUUUGUACCGUGGAUCAACUGCGACUCUCCGACCAAUUUCACUUCACUGCGCUGUCCUAUAUAUCGCACUUGGCUCUUGUUUACUUCACCCCUAACUUCCAACUUUGGCAUUAUGCAAAAAGAAGAUUCCCCAUCACAUCAAACUUGCGGUACAUGCAUGGAGUACUAAAUGUAGACGAAAUUAAAAACUAAUUGCACAGUUUUGUUGUACUUUGCGAGACGAAUCUUUUGAGCCUAAUUAGUCAAUGUUUGGACAAUAAUUCACAAAUACAAAUGAAACGCUACAGUGUGCUACAGUAUUGUAACAGUAAUUUGGCAUCUCCAAACUUUGACAAUUAAAUAAGACCUUGGUGUUGCACCAUCACGCAUGUCUGUUGUCAAGGACCAAGGUUGAAGCAAAAUUUCCCUUGGUCCGUUGGUACUGUCAACCUCUGCAUCGUCGUGACUCGUAGGCUGUAGCUAGCGAAGUGUAAGUGCAGAAAACGCUAGGGUCUUGAUCCUACGAUGAAUCGAGUUGGCUUUUACUUCCCCGCACACGGCACGGCCGUUCGUAUCCGGCUGGAUCGCCCGUCGAGCGCGAAACCCGGAGCGCACGCGGCGCGGAUCGGCAGCGAUGGCCACCGGCGCGGUUGCGGUGGCAGCGGCCGCGCGCGCGGCCAGGGACGCAAGGACGGUGCGACCCCGGGCGGGGGCUACCUGUAUCGCUGCUAUCUGUGGCAUCUGGCGAUGGCGCGAUGCCACCGAUCUAAUCGGAGCACGAGCACCCCCAGUAGUCGGAAUCAAUCGGUUCUCAGCCUGUCGGACCACGUGGAGAAAUGCAUGGUGGCCUUGAACCGGCCUGUGAGCGGAACCGACAGCAAGAUCCUGCCCGAUGACGAUCAUUCGACGAACGUCUACAUUUCUCCACGUGCGCGCUCUCGAUGCAUCUCGUCCAUACACUACAAUGAAACUGGUAGUUGAUUAGUGCUAGUUCAAGCCUUUAACGCAUCGUACUACUAAGUGAUUACUCUACAGUGAGGUGAGGUGAAGGAAUUUAUGGUAAUAAGGUGCGUGCAUGCACUAAUUGAAGGCCCUGACAUUUACGUCUUGCGAGAUCCUUCGACUACACUUUGUGGUGUCAACAUGGUGUUCGCGCAGUUGUACGUGUAUCGGAAUGGUAUGUGGUGGACAAAGCACGUACUACCGAGUGGAGAUGCGGGGAGAGGGUCCGCCGGUAAAAGUAUUUUAUAGCGUAGCGUGGAGCGCACAGUGAGGAGCAGGCCUGCUACUGGGAGGGUAUGGGCAAAUCCACUCUUAUUCACACCUAAAUCCAAAUAAUUAUUCUCCACUCUUUAUCCUUUCAAAUCCCAUCCAUAUCUAAUGGAUAAUUAACUUUGUGCUACGUAUAUAUACAUAUCCAAUUAAUUAAUUAUACCCUUCCCAUUUCUAAUGAGUAUAUAAUUUUCUAGCCAUAUGAAGUGGGUGGAUUUUAAGAGAAGGUAUGGAUACCUAGUGGCAAGCCUAGUGGAGAGUUAGAAAUAUUUAGAUAGUGUUUGGUUCGUGCUAAGGUAAUGUAAACGCAAAGAGAAUCAGAUUACAGUGUAUUUGGCGGUGAAAUGGGUGAUUGCCCUCUUUGUUUGGUUGCACUCUGGUAACGUAAUCAGAUUACUGUGUGGGUGCUAUAUCUGAUUACGGUGGGGGAGGAGGGGUAACAAGCUUGUAUAGAUAUUAUUUAGGUAAGGGUUCGAUUACAGUGUUAAUUGAUUACAAACCACCGCAACCAAACAUAUGUAAUGGGAUUCGUUACGUUCAGUAAUCAGAUUACGUUACAUUUGAGCCAACCAAACACUACCUUAGAACUUUAGCCUUAGUAUUACCAGCAAUUGCAAUGCCUUUCUUAUUUAUUAUGUGCCGAACGAUAUGGGUUAUAAUGUUAUAUUGUCACAAUGUAUUUCCAUGAUUAUCAUAAUACAGGUUUAGAUUCUUAAUAAAGCCCAAUUCCACCGAUUUUCAAAGCCUAACAAGCAUGUCUUUUUUCCUUUGCUCCAUGCAUGUGGACCGACCUAAUUCCAACGUGUCGUUGCAUGGCCAUGCAAGUAAACAAUUAGGUGUCCGGGAGUAAAGGGGGGAAGAUGGAACAUGCUCUGCAAGAGCUAGCCUAGCUUCUAUGCUUUUGCAUCAAACUUUAUCGUUGUCAACUGCUCGGCAUACAACAAGUUCAGGUGAUAGAGAACAGAGAUCAAACACGCGGUGGCCGGCAGGCAGUUGGACAAAAACGCCGGGGCUUUGCCGGGGGACGCCGAUGUAUGGCACCGGGAGCCUUGUGUGCAGACAUGCCAGAGAGCUAGACGCGGCGGCGCCAAAUGUAAAGCAAAGUUUCCUUUCGCCGCGGUGGCCGGGCCGGGCAUCUCGCCGUUGUCCUGUUGCAGACGCCGACCCAUCGACCGGCCACCACUUGCCUGCCAAUCAAGCGGCGGCGGGGUCAAUCGAAAAGGAAAGCGAGUGACACGCAACUGUUUCCUGAAACGCGUGGUCACUGGUCAGUAUGUGAGCUGAGAUGAGUUGUAUGUAACUGGAGAUGGUUUAACUCUGGAGUACUUCCUCUGGGCCAUGACCGUGGCAGGCAACGCUGUCGCUGGAGGGCCCCUAGCUUGUUGAGUGCUUGGGCUGACGAUGCAGCGCCGCACGAUUUUUCCUCGGAUCCGGUCACAGUUAUAUAAUUGCACCACCAGCUAAUAGCUUAUAAGUUGAUGUGGGUUUCAUGUGUAACACAGCUUUAAAAAUCAUGUUGUGAGAAAGUUGCAUCGAAAAACGAGCGAGAUUAUAUAGCUUCCACUCCAUGCCAGUUUCAUACUUUUUUGCAAUAUUUACCUAAUAAAAAAUUGAUUCAGUUAGCUUCUUAGCUCUAAACUAAACCAUUGUUGGAGAUGCUCUUAUAUAACCGUGGAUUCUGUUCGCAAUAUAAUGCAAUAUUUUGAUUAGCAAUAUCCAUAAAAAGAUAUUAUAUAUCUUCAAUAAAAAAAGUUCUAUAUGAUGAAAAUAUUUUUAAUAAUGAAUAUAGUAAUAUGAAUAUUGGUUGCCAAUCUAAAUAAAUGUUGGAUAUUGAUGGUUGAACUUAAAGUGUCCAACGUUAAAGAUCAAGCAUAAACAAAAUAAAGGAAUGGCUAGUUAUGUGAUAGAUUUAGGGGCGAAAAAUUUAUUGAAUCGGGAGCCUUAGAUCAAGAUCGGGCAUCCUCUCAUAUAAAAUUCUUAAAUCCUAACAUGUCUCGUACCUCUCUGAACUUUGCCGCUAAUCUCCUAUACGCGUUGCGAUUGCAAAUUUGACAAAUUAUCACCGCUAAAUACUUUGUAAAAUAAUACAUAUUACUUUAUUUUAAAAUGUAGGUUGUUUUAGCUUUAUUUAAGUCAAACUUAUCUAAUUUUGAUCAAAUUCAUAGCAAAAUAUACAAGAAAAUAUGUUACGAUAGUGCGUUGUAUUUAGUAUUUAAUGUAUAUUAAUAUAUUUUUUAUAAAUUUAGUUAAAAUUUGAGAGAUUUGAUUUUGGAUAAAAACUACAACGACCAGACAGAAAGUACUUAUAUGGUUACCAGCGCGCUUUUGUGCUCCCCACCUACUGCUUCAUGGGCUAUAUAAGCAAGUACCCACGGGACAGAGAGGGUCGCGGGCGGACCAAUUUCGGUGCGUACAAAAGGUACGCCAUGGCGGUUGUUAAAUCGAUCUGUCCGCCAGAAUGCGUCGUGCCGGUGGGCUAUGACGAGCCGCUCCUCGGGCGCUACGAGGCCGCGCGGCCGGAGAAGAAGGCGGAUGCCGACGACGACGGCGACGGCAACGCCAGCUUCGUGCAGACUUGCCUCAACGGCCUCAAUGUCUUGUCAGGUGUGCCAUGUUUUCUGCUUGCAGCUAGCUAGGGCUGUUUCUCGAUUCAUACCAUGCCUUUGAUCUGACGUGACGGCGCGCGCACCGUUGCCGAUCAGGGGUUGGGCUGCUGUCGGUGCCCUACGCGCUCUCGGAGGGCGGCUGGCUGAGCCUGGCGCUGCUGGCCGCCGUGGCCGCCAUCUGCUGGCACACCGGCCUCCUCCUCCAGCGCUGCAUGGCCGCCGACCCGGCCGUCCGGACCUACCCGGACAUCGGCGAGCGCGCCUUCGGCCGUGGCGGCCGCCUCCUCGUCUCGGCCUUCAUGUACGCCGAGCUCUACCUCGUCGCCAUCGGCUUCCUCAUCCUCGACGGCGACAACCUCGACAAGCUCUUCCCGGGCGCCAGCGUCAGCCUGGGCCCCGCGACGCUCGCCGGGAAGCAGCUGUUCGUCGUGCUCGUCGCGCUCGUGGUCGCGCCCACCACGUGGCUGCGCAGCCUCGGCGUGCUCUCCUACUUCUCCGCGACGGGCGUGUUCGCGUCGCUCCUCAUCGUCCUCAGCGUGCUCUGGGCCGCCGCCUUCGACGGCGUCGGGUUCUCCGCGCCGGGCACGGUGGCGCUGCGGCCCACGGGGCUCCCCACGGCUCUCGGGCUCUACACCUUCUGCUACGGCGGCCACGCCGUGUUCCCGACGCUCUACACCUCCAUGAAGGAAAAGCAUCGGUUCCCAAAGGUAUGACCAAUGGCGACGCGUACAUGUUCAUGCGGGCCUGUCACAAUUACAACGACAAUGAAGAAUUCACUGGUCAACAAUGUUUGGAAUCUUAUGACAAGCAGAUGCUUGCGAUAUGCUUCGUGCUGUGCACGGUCAACUACGGGUCGAUGGCCGUGCUCGGGUACCUUAUGUACGGCGACGGCGUGGCGUCCCAGGUGACGCUGAACCUCCCCGCGGCGCGGCUGAGCUCCAAGAUCGCCAUCUUCACCACGCUGAUCAACCCGCUGUCCAAGUACGCGCUGAUGGUGACGCCGAUCGCGACGGCCGUCGAGGGGAGGAUCCGCGGCGCCGCCGGCUGCGGCGGCUCGGGCCCGGCUGUGUCGGUGGCGGUGAGGACGCUGCUGGUGCUCAGCAUGGUGGCCGUGGCGCUGGCGGUGCCCUUCUUCGCGUACCUGAUGGCGCUCGUGGGGUCGCUGCUCAACGUGGGCGCGUGCAUGCUGCUGCCCUGCGUCUGCUACGUCAGGGUGUUCGGGCCGCCGCGGCGCGCCGCGGAGGCCGCGGCGAUCGUCGCGAUCCUGGCGCUGGGUUCGCUGGUGGUGAUCACCGGGACCUACUCGUCGGUGGUGCAGAUUACCCGCGAGCUGUUCUGACAAUUUUGUUGCUGCGCGCGGCGGCAGUCGUACGAAAGAAAUUGAGCUUAUGAAGGCAGAUUAGGUGCACAAAGAAAAUACACGCAUGUUCGAAAUCCGAUUCGUUACGAUUGCAAACUGAUGUGCACUAGCGUCUGUUCUAUGCGUAUGCGCAUGUGACGGCAUGUGUAUUCCAUCCGUCCUAAAAUAAAUAUAUUUGUAACUAACGAUUUUGUCUCAACAAGAUUUGGUAAAUAUACAGGUGUCACAACGUGAGAGGAGGGAGUGGAUGGGAUGCUAAACAAGUUUCAAAUUGUAAUGAUCUUUCCUUUUAAACCAUAUAUCCAAUUCGAAUUUCCUUUGAGCUACAAUAUCCGUUGGAAUUAACGCAGCGCAACGAGAUCCAAUAUGCCAUCUAAUUUUUUAUUUUAUUAUCUCAAUAUUUUAAUACACUAGUUCAAUAUUUUUGAAUAACUACUUCAACGUUCGGGACAUAGAUAUUUUUACUCAAAAGGUUGGUCUAGUUUACUCAAAUUGUUGGAUUAACAUUGAAAAAGUGUUGAAUGUAGCACUUCAUCAAUCAAAAGGAAAGACAAAGAAAAGCGUACCUGCCAGGCUCCAUGGCAUGUUGCUGGCCUGCCAUACUGGGGCCGUUGCUUGCAUUGGCAUGCUGCUGGGGGCUCCUACACGUCUGCUGGAACAUAGUUAAGCCCAGCAAGGGCCAGCUUGACAGUUUCUUUGUUUUAGAAAAAAAUUGUUUAAAAAAUAAAGCUUGACUGUUUCCGUUCCGUUCCAUCACAUGAAUGCGCGCGCCUUCGACUUUUUGAGAGCGCCUCGCGUUAAUUAUUUUUUCCGCGCGCCUUCGUCUUUUUGAGCGCACCCUCGCAUUAAUUAUCCUUUUCAGCACAUUAUUUAUUUUUUCCAUGCGCCUUCCAUUGCAUUUUUUUGACUAUUUUGCUGGGCAUGUGGUUUGAAGUGGGAUACUAACAGGUGGGAAAAUGAUAUACUAAUAUGUAAUUUAAACUUCAAACUUCAAACUUAAUGUUUGAAGUUUAAUAUACUAAUAUGUAAUUUUUACAUGUGAUCGGUAAGAUAUGUCCAAACCAAAAAAAUACAAGUGAGAAGGGAGUUGUUAUUACAGAAAUUUGAGGAAAAAAACACAAAUCAGUAAUAAUUAACUAAGUAAACUCCAGGUCUAUUUGAUCCUCAGCUAAGAAACAUCAACCACCCUAAAAUGAAUCAUCUUCUCAUGAAGAGCUGGAGCACCUGUUAAUAAUAAACAUAGAAUUGUAGUAAGUUUUAGAAAUGUUGGGAUGUGGAAAAGGAACUGUUAGAACUGUUAGAAAUGUUGAAUAUCAUAAUGACUAAUUGUUUAACAAUAAGAGGUUAAAUUUCUAAAACUGAUGAACCUAAUGGUGAAAAAUUGUUGAACAAUAUGAUGUUGAAUUCAGAACAGUUGAACCUAUUUCUGUAAAAUUGUUGGAACUUCAUAUGUAGUAGUAACUAAACGGAAACUAGAAAUGUUGAAAACAUUCAUCAAAAAAGUCCAACAUUCAUCAUAAAAGGUGAGCAUGUAGUAAGUUUUAAAAAUGUUGAGAUGUGGAAAAGAAACUAUUAGAAAUGUUGAAUAUCAUAAUGACUUUGACAAGAUAAUUGUUGAACAGAAAGAGGUUAAAUUUCUAAAACUGAUGAGCCUUAUGGUGAAAAUUGUUGAACAAUAUGAGGUUGAAUUCAGAACUGAAAUUGUUGGACCCUCAGAUACAGUGGUACCUAAAAAAUGUUGAAAAUUAGAAAUGUUGGAAACAUUCAUCAUAAAAAGUGAACAUACAAUUAGAAAUAUUGAAAACAUUUACUAGUUGUGUAAUGGUAACAAAAUGUUAGAAAGAUGCAAUUUUUAUAUAAUAACAUUGAAAGUAUAGAACAUAGAUAAUCAUUGAUAGGAAACUUGUGACAAACCUGAAAGGAAAAGGUAGAGAACAACAUUUGAAUUAAAUGAGCAUGUCCAUGAACUUUUUAUGAAAUUUGUUGUACUUGUAAAAGUUGGAACAAAAAUAAGAUGAACAACUACUUUCCUUAUGGAAUAUCAGAGGUGAAUUUGUCAUAAAAGACCUUUUGAGCUUCUGUUUCGAAAAUGACUAGUGCAUCAGGUUCACACUACCCUAGCCUACAAAGUGGGAUUCCUGAUUAAUGUUGGGUGCAUGUCAAAAACAAGUUGACAAUUAUUGGGAAAAUAUUGAAGUAUGUUAAAAAAUGUUGGGCAAACAAUUUAAGAAUACAUUAGUAUAUGCUAAAAAAAUUGAAUUAUGUAAAAGAAAUGUUGGUCUAUCAAGCAAAAUUUUGGUAAAUAUCAAAUAAAUUAUUAGUCAAUAUCAAGAAAUGGUGCUAUAUGUCCAGAAUAAGUUAAAGGAAAAUGUUAGUGUAUGUCAAUGAAAUGUUGGAUAAUAUUAAAAAAUAAGUUCAAGAAAAAACUAUGUAUGAUUUUUUUUUAUUAAUAAUGGUCAACAAAAUGUUAGAGAUUGUGAAAAAAUGUUGGGCAAUCAUCAAUAAAUGUUGAUUUAGGAAAAAACAAUAUUGGGAAAUAUAAAGGAAAUGUUGGAGAUGUAUGUUCAAAUAAAUUGAAUAGAUUCUAAAAUGUUGGUAAGAGUUAAAAACAACUUUAAGAAUAUAUUAGUACAUGCUCAAAAAAUAUUGGCAACCAUCAAUAAAUGGUAAGUGUCCAAAAUAAGUUAUAAAAAGUUGGUGCAUGUCCAAUGUAUGUGAUAAAAUGUUGAUCACUUUGAAUAAAAAUGUGUGUGUAUUCAAAACAAUGUUGGUCAAUAUCAAGAAAAUGUUGGUGAGUGUCUCAAAACUAAGUUAAAGAAAAAUGCUGGUGUAUGUGAUAAAAUGUCGAUGACUUUGAAGCAAAAUAUUGAUGAGUGUAAACAAAUGUUAGCAAGCGUCGAUAAAAUGUUGAUUUGUCCAACAAUAAGUUAUACACAAAUGUUGGUGUAUGUGAUAAAAUGUUGAACACUCUGAUAGAAAAUAUUUAUGUAUUCGCUAAAAAAGUUGGUCAACAUCAAUAAAAUGUUGGUGAGUGUCCUAAAAAUAAGUUAAAUAAAAGAGUUAGUAUAUGGGGGAAAAUAUUGAUCACUCUAAAGAUAAUGUUGGUGAGUGUAGAAAAAUGUCAGCAAACAACUAUAAAGGUAGUUUGUGUAAAAAAAUAGUGACCGUAAAAAAUGUUUAUAUAUGUCAAGAAAUUGUUGCUCACUAUCAAGAAAAUGUUGGUGAUUUGUUCAAAAGUAAGUUAUACAAAAAUGUUGUUGUAUGUCAAGAAAUGUUGGUGAUGUGUCCAAAGAUAAGUUACAGAAAAAUGUUGAAGUGUCAAAAAAAUUGUUGUUCAAUACCAAGAAAAGUUUGUGAGUGACCAAAAAUAUGUUGAAGGGAUAAAACUUGAAUUUGAAUGUAAAUUAACUUAUAUUUAGCACAUAAAUGGAAGUCCAUGUCUUUAAAAAAUAGCUUGAUUCAUUUUGUAGCACGAGUGUAAACUGCAAAAAAAAA